GACGAACGCUGGCGGCGUGCCUAAUACAUGCCAGUAGAACGCUGAAGAGAGGAGCUUGCUCUUCUUGGAUGAGUUGCGAACGGGUGAGUAACGCGUAGGUAACCUGCCUUGUAGCGGGGGAUAACUAUUGGAAACGAUAGCUAAUACCGCAUAACAAUAGGUGACACAUGUCAUUUAUUUGAAAGGGGCAAUUGCUCCACUACAAGAUGGACCUGCGUUGUAUUAGCUAGUAGGUGAGGUAACGGCUCACCUAGGCGACGAUACAUAGCCGACCUGAGAGGGUGAUCGGCCACACUGGGACUGAGACACGGCCCAGACUCCUACGGGAGGCAGCAGUAGGGAAUCUUCGGCAAUGGGGGCAACCCUGACCGAGCAACGCCGCGUGAGUGAAGAAGGGUUUCGGAUCGUAAAGCUCUGUUGUAAGUCAAGAACGAGUGUGAGAGUGGAAAGUUCACACUGUGACGGUAGCUUACCAGAAAGGGACGGCUAACUACGUG
rnacentral:rRNA from 1 species